rnacentral:lncRNA from 1 species
GGUGGUAGCUUCCGAAAUUCACCGAUUUCUGCAGAAUUCAUGGCCAUCAACGCUCUCACCACACUUUUCUUUCUCGUCUUACUUUCAACUUCAUCCAUCUCAUCUGCAACAUCAAGAACAGUUCCUCGGACAAGAAGUAAGUUUCGUAGUCCAAUACCUUAAAUAAGCACUGAUAUCUUGGUUUAUCGCUUUAUGUAUGUUGUGCUCUGGUCUUAUGCAGAUGGAUUUUGGGGUAAAGCUGCCAAUCUUUUAGAGGUAAAGAUAAACCCAUCUCCCUAUUAUUCACGACCUUCUCGAGGCCAGAGUGUUCCUCCCCCGCCUUCCUCCACGUAGCCUUAGAUGAUUGAUACCCUACAAUCAGAUGAUACUUCAAGAUUUGUGCUGGGAUGUUACUUAAUUUUUAUUGUUGUUUGUAAGCCUAUAUACGAAUGUGCAUCUCAAGGAUCAAAAUUAUCUGUUUUUAUGUCUUCGUUUUGCUUAUGGAAAGCUGUAUAUUCAGUUUCCUCUUGUUUGUUUUGUGGUUCAUUUGGACGGUGCUCGAUUUGUUCAUGGUUGGUAAAUAUCUAAACAAUCAUCCCACGACUGAU